AGAGCGGAUGAUCGCGGCUGCAGGUCCCGCAAGGGCGCAGGUGAGGAAAGUCCGGGCUUCGCAGGGCAGGAUGCCGGAUAACGUCCGGUGGAGGUGACUCUAAGGAAAGUGCAGCAGAAAGCAAACCGCCGGGGGCCUUCGGGCCUCCGGUAAGGGUGAAACGGCAGUGUAAGAGACUACCGCCGCUGUGGUAACACGGCGGGCAUUGUAAACCCCAUCCGAAGCAAGACCAAACACCGCCUUCGGGCGGAGGGAAAGCCAUGGGCCGGCCCGGUCCGCUUUUCGGUAGGUCGCUUGAGGGCGUCGGCGACGGCGCUCCUGGAUAGAUGAUCAUCCUUCGGGGCUUCGCCCCGUUGACAGAACCCGGCUUACAGCUCUGCUUA
rnacentral:RNase_P_RNA from 1 species